AGCGCAUACGGUGGAUGCCUUGGCAGUCAGAGGCGAUGAAAGACGUGGAAGCCUGCGAUAAGGCUCGGGGAGCUGGCAAACAAGCUGUGAUCCGGGCAUCUCUGAAUGGGGAAACCCACCGGUCUUCGGACCGGUACCGUACGGUGAAUACAUAGCCGUACGGGGCGAACUCGGGGAACUGAAACAUCUAAGUACCCGAAGGAAAAGAAAUCAACCGAGAUUCCCUCAGUAGCGGCGAGCGAACGGGGACCAGCCCUUAAGCUGGACAACUGGUAGGAGAAGGCCCUGGAAAGAGCCGCCAUAGUGGGUGAUAGCCCCGUAUCCGAAACCUGAGUCCAGUGAAAUCGAGUAGGACGGGACACGAGACAUCCUGUCUGAACAUGGGGGGACCAUCCUCCAAGGCUAAAUACUCCUGACUGACCGAUAGUGAACCAGUACCGUGAGGGAAAGGCGAAAAGAACCCCUGUGAGGGGAGUGAAAUAGAUCCUGAAACCGUAUGCGUACAAGCAGUCGGAGCGGACUUGUUCCGUGACGGCGUACCUUUUGUAUAAUGGGUCAGCGACUUAUGUUCAGUGGCGAGGUUAACCGUUUAGGGGAGCCGUAGGGAAACCGAGUCUGAAUAGGGCGAUUUAGUCGCUGGGCAUAGACCCGAAACCGGGCGAUCUAUCCAUGAGCAGGUUGAAGGUUGAGUAACAUCAACUGGAGGACCGAACCCACUGUCGUUGAAAAGCCAGGGGAUGACUUGUGGAUCGGAGUGAAAGGCUAAUCAAGCCCGGAGAUAGCUGGUUCUCCCCGAAAGCUAUUUAGGUAGCGCCUCGGACGAAUACCACAGGGGGUAGAGCACUGUUUCGGCUAGGGGGUCAUCCCGACUUACCAACCCGAUGCAAACUCCGAAUACCUGUGAGUACUAUCCGGGAGACACACGGUGGGUGCUAACGUCCAUCGUGAAGAGGGAAACAACCCAGACCGCCAGCUAAGGUCCCCAAAUACCAGUUAAGUGGGAAACGAUGUGGGAAGGCUCAGACAGCUAGGAGGUUGGCUUAGAAGCAGCCAUCCUUUAAAGAAAGCGUAAUAGCUCACUAGUCGAGUCGGCCUGCGCGGAAGAUGUAACGGGGCUCAAACUGGUUACCGAAGCUGCGGCUGUGCACGCAAGUGCACGGGGUAGGGGAGCGUUCUGUAAGCCUGCGAAGGUGUGUCGAGAGGCAUGCUGGAGGUAUCAGAAGUGCGAAUGCUGACAUGAGUAACGACAAUGGGGGUGAAAAACCCCCACGCCGGAAGACCAAGGGUUCCUGCGCAACGCUAAUCGGCGCAGGGUGAGUCGGCCCCUAAGGCGAGACCGAAAGGUGUAGUCGAUGGGAAACGGAUUAAUAUUUCCGUACCUUGGAUAGCUGCGAUGGAGAGACGGAGAAGGCUAGGUGAGCCGGGCGACGGUUGUCCCGGUUUAAGCAUGUAGGCAGUGGGAUUAGGCAAAUCCGGUCCCACAAUGCCGAGACGCGACGACGACUGCCCUUUUAGGGCGGGAAGUCAUUGAUGCCCUGCUUCCAGGAAAAUCUUCUAAGCUUCAGGCUAUUCGAGACCGUACCCCAAACCGACACAGGUGGUCAGGUAGAGAAUACCAAGGCGCUUGAGAGAACUCGGGUAAAGGAACUAGGCAAAAUGGUGCCGUAACUUCGGGAGAAGGCACGCCGGUGGUAUGUGACGCCCUUCGCGGGUUGAGCAGAAGCCGGUCGAAGAUACCAGGCCCCUGCGACUGUUUAUUAAAAACACAGCACUGUGCAAACACGAAAGUGGACGUAUACGGUGUGACGCCUGCCCGGUGCCGGAAGGUUAAUUGAUGGGGUUAUCUUCGGAGAAGCUCUUGAUCGAAGCCCCGGUAAACGGCGGCCGUAACUAUAACGGUCCUAAGGUAGCGAAAUUCCUUGUCGGGUAAGUUCCGACCUGCACGAAUGGCGUAACGAUGGGGGCGCUGUCUCUACCCGAGACUCAGUGAAAUUGAAAUCGCCGUGAAGAUGCGGUGUAUCCGCGGCUAGACGGAAAGACCCCGUGAACCUUUACUAUAGCUUCACAGUGAACUUUGAGCAUGUUUGUGUAGGAUAGCUGGGAGGCUUUGAAACCAGGACGCCAGUUCUGGUGGAGCCAACCUUGAAAUACCAGCCUGACCUGUUUGAGGUUCUAACUUCGACCCCUUAUCGGGGUUAAGGACACUGUGUGGUGGGUAGUUUGACUGGGGCGGUCUCCUCCCAAAGCGUAACGGAGGAGCACAAAGGUGGGCUAAGCAUGGUCGGACAUCAUGCGGUUAGUGUAAUGGCACAAGCCCGCUUAACUGCGAGACAGACACGUCGAGCAGGUACGAAAGUAGGUCAUAGUGAU
rnacentral:rRNA from 1 species